AGAGUAGAAUAACCGUACGUUAUUGAUACGCUGCGACCAAAGUGACUAUAACACUUUAUAGUCAAUUUGGCUGCGACAGAGUAAAGGGACAGGAUUCGAAUAUUUAACCCAGCGGACAGUACCUCUAAUCUGUGAAGGAGUGUGGAAGAUGCGUUUCCCCAAGCUACGAUACCAUAUUGAAGAUAUGAUUGAAAGAGAGAAAAAUAAACUAAUCGCAUAGCUGAUGGGAGUUCAUGUGUAUUUGCAAAUCAUUUGGCGAGACUGAACUUCCAAAUAACCCGGUAUCGUCAGCGAAGAGUUUGACCAAUAAUCUGGUGGCAUGAGGAAGAUCGUUGACGAAUAAUACGAACAUUAAUAGGCCAAUUAUUGUGCCCUGGGGAAUUCCGCAUUGUACGCAUGCAUCCGCAUUCAAAGUUGAUUUAUAAUCGUCACUUUGUACCCAUUAAAUUUUGUAACGUGGCGAUCCACAUAGUUUUAUGGUAUUAGUUUGAGAAACAAUUAAUCAUUUUAAAUUUAGAUAAAUUUAGUGAAAAUUCCUGACAAAAAUAACCAAGUCAUACCAAAGGUUUAACCGUUAGGUGGCGACAGCGUAAGGUUUAGUUCGUUUUCCUUGAUUGGCCAGGUGCGGUAUUUGUCAGCUUUUAGCUUUGUUACGGUACCGGCACCGAAAUUCAAGGCAUGGUAGGUGUUUUUCUGAUUUUUGUCUAAUUCUUUAAAAAUUUUGUUUUUGAUAUUAAAUGCUUAUAAUGGAUAAAUUUAAAAUAUAUGUUGAAUGGUAUAAUGUUUUCAAUGGUCACUGGAUGUUAUGUCAUGGAUACUUGGAUUAUCAUUACAUGAAUGUGGACACAAUUUAAAUUGGAUUUCUGAACUAAUAUGGGUAAAUGUAUCUGGUUUGUUUAAAAUUUAUCAUUAUUCAUCUAUGUAAUGUAUACUUAUAUGAUCUAUAAUAUCACCUAAAUUACCUGGAAAAUUGGGAUUCAUGCAACUAAAUUUAAAUAAUAUAUUUGGAUAAACCAAAACUAUCAAUAUCAUAAAUCCGAAUUAGCAAUGGAUUUAAAUUUGGCAAAAAAAAAAAAAUCCAAGGCAAAUCAAAUAAGCAAUUAGCUACAUUAUUUUGGGAGAGUUUCAGAUACCGGCAUGACAUAACGGUAUCGUACUUCUCGAACCAGACUCCCAAGACGGUUUGAGUUACGAUCCAGUCUGGAUUUCAUGGCCUUUUUCAACGAGAAAUCGGGCCUAAAUUCCCGCGUGCAAAUCAGAAUUCCUGGCGUGCAAAACCACUUGCGCCCGCGUGCAACUGGCUUUGACUUUAGUAGCGUACUGUCAGACUGUUCAAUAACUCCGCGUAAAAUUAUUGGAUAAAAAAUACGUUGAGUCAGAGCAAAAAUGGACGUUUAACCUUUUACUCCCAAACUUUAUUUCUAUACUUUGUCAUUAAUUUUGAGAGUGUUUGUGCGACUUUGGAUACAGGUACUGUUAAGUACAUUCAUGUAAAAUUAUUGAAUAAAACUACGUUGAAUCAGAGAAAAAUGACGCCUGACCUUUGCCCCCAAACAUCAUUUCUAUACAUUGUCAUUAAUCUUGAAAGUGUUUGUGCAACUUUAGAUACCAUUACUGUUCGAAAAAAAUACGUUGGAUCAAAGCAAAAAUGGUCAUUUGACCUUUGACCCCCCAACAUUAUUUCUAUACUUUGACAUUACCUUCGGGAGUGUUUUUGCAUAAAAAUAUUGGAUAAACAAUACGCCGAAUCAUAGCCUUAACUGACAAGCGUCUGCAAGGAGUCUGGUGAUCUUUUCAUCAAUACCUAUACUCACGGGAUUCCUAUCAUUCAACAUGAUGCACCAUACGGCCGAGCAAUUAUGAAAUGUUUUUUUUUUUGAUCAGGCCAAAUCUUGCAAGCUAGUAUGUAGUCAACAAUUGUGAAGCUAUAAUUUGUUGGCAUUGUAGGAUACAAAGAUUAUACCGUUUUUCAUUGGUGAGCAACUGCAAAUUUUCAGCGUGCAAGAUUGAAUUCGCUCGCAUGCGAGUUCAGGUUGUGCGUCAUCUUGGUGAGCAUGCUU